CCUACGGGAGGCAGCAGUGAGGAAUAUUGGUCAAUGGGCGAGAGCCUGAACCAGCCAAGUCGCGUGAAGGAUGACGGCCCUACGGGUUGUAAACUUCUUUUGUCAGGGAGCAAUUGGGUCCACGCGUGGGCUUAGCGAGAGUACCUGAAGAAAAAGCAUCGGCUAACUCCGUGCCAGCAGCCGCGGUAAUACGGAGGAUGCGAGCGUUAUCCGGAUUUAUUGGGUGUAAAGGGCGGGUAGGCGGGAAAGCAAGUCAGAUGUUAAAACUGCGGGCUAAACCCUGAGCCUGCAGUUGAAACUGUUGGUCUUGAGUGCUGGAGAGGCAAUCGGAAUUCCUUGUGUAGCGGUGAAAUGCGUAGAUAUACGGAGGAACACCGGUGGCGAAGGCAGAUUGCUGGACAGUAACUGACGCUGAGGCGCGAAAGCGUGGGGAGCAAACAGGAUUAGAUACCCUAGUAGUC
rnacentral:rRNA from 1 species